rnacentral:rRNA from 1 species
AACGGGUGAGUAACACGUGGGCAAUCUGCCCUGCACUCUGGGACAAGCCCUGGAAACGGGGUCUAAUACCGGAUACGACCAUCUUGGGCAUCCUUGGUGGUGGAAAGCUCCGGCGGUGCAGGAUGAGCCCGCGGCCUAUCAGCUUGUUGGUGAGGUAACGGCUCACCAAGGCGACGACGGGUAGCCGGCCUGAGAGGGCGACCGGCCACACUGGGACUGAGACACGGCCCAGACUCCUACGGGAGGCAGCAGUGGGGAAUAUUGCACAAUGGGCGAAAGCCUGAUGCAGCGACGCCGCGUGAGGGAUGACGGCCUUCGGGUUGUAAACCUCUUUCAGCAGGGAAGAAGCGAAAGUGACGGUACCUGCAGAAGAAGCGCCGGCUAACUACGUGCCAGCAGCCGCGGUAAUACGUAGGGCGCGAGCGUUGUCCGGAAUUAUUGGGCGUAAAGAGCUCGUAGGCGGCUUGUCGCGUCGGUUGUGAAAGCCCGGGGCUUAACCCCGGGUCUGCAGUCGAUACGGGCAGGCUAGAGUUCGGUAGGGGAGAUCGGAAUUCCUGGUGUAGCGGUGAAAUGCGCAGAUAUCAGGAGGAACACCGGUGGCGAAGGCGGAUCUCUGGGCCGAUACUGACGCUGAGGAGCGAAAGCGUGGGGAGCGAACAGGAUUAGAUACCCUGGUAGUCCA